AUGUGCCUGAAACUAAAGGGGCUGCUUUGAUAAAGCAGACAUGAGGUUAACCACACCACCAUUUCCU
rnacentral:tRNA from 1 species